rnacentral:rRNA from 1 species
GUGCAGCAGUCGCGAAUAGUCUACAAUGGACGAAAGUCUGAUAGUGCGACGCCGUGUGUGCGAUUAAUUCCUUCGGGAUGUAAAGCACUUUUCUAUGAGAUAAAAGCUCUUUAGGUUAAUAGCUUAUUGAGACGGAUAUUAUUAUAGGAAUAAGCUCCGGCUAACUCCGUGCCAGCAGCCGCGGUAAUACGGAAGGAGCGAGCGUUGUCCGGAUUUACUAGGCGUAAAGGGCUAGUAGGCGACUAAUUAAGUUAUAUGUUAAAUCCCACGGCUCAACUGUGGUCCUGCAUGUAAUACUGGUUAGAUAGAGUACUGUAGAGGAAGGCAGAAUUCCUGGAGUAGCGGUGGAAUGCGCAGAUAUCAGGAAGAAUACCAAAAGCGAAGGCAGCCUUCUGGGCAGUUACUGACGCUGAAUAGCGAAGGUGUGGGUAGCGAACA